rnacentral:rRNA from 1 species
UGCAAGUCGAGCGGAGUUUUUAAAAGCUUGCUUUUAAAAACUCAGCGGCGGACGGGUGAGUAACACGUGGGCAACCUGCCCUGNUAGACUGGGAUAACUUCGGGAAACCGAAGCUGAUACCGGAUAAUCAUAGAAGUUGCAUAGCUUCUAUGUAAAAGUUGGGUUUACCUAACACUACAGGAUGGGCCCGCGUCGCAUUAGCUAGUUGGUAAGGUAACGGCUUACCAAGGCGACGAUGCGUAGCCGACCUGAGAGGGUGAUCGGCCACACUGGGACUGAGACACGGCCCAGACUCCUACGGGAGGCAGCAGUGGGGGAUAUUGCGCAAUGGGCGAAAGCCUGACGCAGCAAUGCCGCGUGAAGGAUGAAGGCCUUCGGGUCGUAAACUUCUGUCUAGAGGGAUGAAGAAAGUGACAGUACCUCUGGAGGAAGCCCCGGCUAACUACGUGCCAGCAGCCGCGGUAGUACGUAGGGGGCAAGCGUUGUCCGGAAUCACUGGGCGUAAAGCGCGCGUAGGUGGUCUAGUAAGUCAGGUGUUAAAAUGCGGGGCUCAACCCCGUAAUGCAUUUGAAACUGCUGGACUUGAGGACAGGAGAGGAAAGUGGAAUUCCUAGUGUAGCGGUGAAAUGCGUAAAUAUUAGGAGGAACACCAGUGGCGAAGGCGACUUUCUGGACUGUACCUGACACUGUGGUGCGAAAGCGUGGGGAGCAAACAGGACUAAAUACC